GCCCGUGUGGCGAAAUGGCAGACGCACAGGACUUAAAAUCCUGAGGAGUGAAUAACUCCGUGCCGGUUCGAGUCCGGCCACGGGCA
rnacentral:tRNA from 1 species